rnacentral:lncRNA from 1 species
AACAGAUAGAGAGAAAGCGGAAGAGAGAGGGAAAGACGCGAUUUGUACCGCCGGAGGAAGAGAGGAGAACACACUCUACCGUGUUCAGGAGGAAGCGGAGAUCGGCGGGAGGGAAAUGGAGAGAACGGCCUGAGAGAAAGACUAUCAGGAGCUUCCUCAGGUCAGAGUAUGGUAGAGUCACCGCUAUAUUUUCCUCCCUUUUUAUCCCCCUUUCCUUCUUACUAUCUUCAUCGCGAGCGGACUCGUCAUAAUGCAAUUAACGAUUGACCGAGCCGAAACCGGACAAGUUCUCCUCGUCAGUUACCGUGUUACGACGCAACGCGAGAUCACCCGAUCUCGAAUUCCCAGUUGUGCACUCCAUUGUCUGUUGCUCGUCAGGGUCGUUCCCCUGGUGAGCAUCCGACAAAAAGAAGAUCCGACAGAGAUGUCACGAGAGAAUUAAAUUGGUCCAAGAGCGAUAGGAGCGAAAAACGAUUCAAUCAUCAAUGGCAGAAUUGUCGGCGAAUUUAAAGACAAUUUCAUUAUAGAGGGAGAAAUGUCAAAAAAGAUGGAUUUCUCUUCAAUUUUCAACAUUAAAUGAGUUUUAAUACAAAUUUAAAUUACAAAUUGAGGAUCUUGCAAACCUACGUCAUCAUUAUUUCAACUAAUCGAAUUCCGAUUCUAAUCAAAUCUAAAACGAAAAUUGAUAUUUUGAAAUAAAGCUUACUUCUAUAUGUAUGUACAUCGCAGAUGAUUUUACGUUCAUCAGUGAAAAAUUUAUCGCAUUUACAAUAAUAACAUCGUGAAUGAGUAACGUCGAAGCGCACGAUAUUACGUAUUUGCGAAGAAGAGGUACAAGCUAUCGAGAGAAAAUUUUGUCAACAAAUUACAGAAUGCUGAAACGAAAGUAGUAACGUCGCGAUCUGGAUGGUAGAACAUCGAAAAACGAAUUGGCAACGGAAUAUUGCCAAGACUAAAAAAAAUGGUAGUCACUUGAAAGAGAAAUAUUGAUGCUAAUUACGUCGAUAGCGAAGAGAUAUCGAUGUGCAGCAUGAUCAGCUUGAAUUGGCCGAUAUACACUGACCGUCGCCAAUUGCGAACGAAUGCUACAAGGAAACUAUUAUUAGCGUCCAUUGGAUCGGAAAACCUGACGACACGAAUGAUGCUUAAGUUCGACAGGCUAUCGAUAUUCCGUAUCGACUCGCCAUUGAGUAUCAUGACCAGACCCAAUGUCCUUUUUAUUGGGCCCGACAUUAAUACCGAGAUAAAAGCUUCAUAAUGGGCAAUAUCGAUUGCUGAUAACAAACGAUGAUUGUUAUCCAUCGAAGCGGGAGUAUUCCGCGAGGCUGAUUAUUUUUGCUCGCUCGUCCGUGAAUCACCCGCCAUUUCCCCGUUCACGAAUAUGCCUCUGCCAACGGAAGACGUUGGAUGACAUUAUCGUGAAAAAUGAGCAUAGAGAUAACGAGGGUGCGGAUGAAUGUCAAGUAAAUGCGACGUCGACCUGGGUAUUUAGAGACCACGACACAUCCUUCGGGAGCUUUAGGUAAGUAUAAAACGUGUGAACACUACCUAUGUCCCAUGAAAGUGUCCUUAAAUGAUAACGUAUGUAUUUCAACGUAAUUAUAGUAAAGGGAUGUGGAAAAAACUAAUUGCGGUAUUAUUGUUCAGCAAUUUAUCAUUGUUUGACAGUGCCCACCUCU